rnacentral:rRNA from 1 species
UACGGGGGGAGCAAGCGUUGUUCGGAUUUACUGGGCGUAAAGGGCGCGUAGGCGGCGCAACAAGUCACUUGUGAAAUCUCCGGGCUUAACCCGGAGCGGCCAAGUGAUACUGUCGUGCUAGAGUGCGGAAGGGGCUACUGGAAUUCUCGGUGUAGCGGUGAAAUGCGUAGAUAUCGUAAGGAAGACCAGUGGCGAAGGCGAGUCUCUGGACAGCAACUGACGCUGAGGCACGAAGGCCAGGGAGCAAACGGG